rnacentral:rRNA from 1 species
GGCAGACUAGAGUGCGGUAGGGGAGAUUGGAAUUCCUGGUGUAGCGGUGGAAUGCGCAGAUAUCAGGAGGAACACCGAUGGCGAAGGCAGAUCUCUGGGCCGUAACUGACGCUGAGGAGCGAAAGCGUGGGGAGCGAACAGGAUUAGAUACCCUGGUAGUCCACGCCGUAAACGUUGGGCGCUAGAUGUAGGGACCUUUCCACGGUUUCUGUGUCGUAGCUAACGCAUUAAGCGCCCCGCCUGGGGAGUACGGCCGCAAGGCUAAAACUCAAAGGAAUUGACGGGGGCCCGCACAAGCGGCGGAGCAUGCGGAUUAAUUCGAUGCAACGCGAAGAACCUUACCAAGGCUUGACAUACACCGGAAACGGCCAGAGAUGGUCGCCCCCUUGUGGUCGGUGUACAGGUGGUGCAUGGUUGUCGUCAGCUCGUGUCGUGAGAUGUUGGGUUAAGUCCCGCAACGAGCGCAACCCUCGUUCUAUGUUGCCAGCGCGUUAUGGCGGGGACUCAUAGGAGACUGCCGGGGUCAACUCGGAGGAAGGUGGGGAUGACGUCAAAUCAUCAUGCCCCUUAUGUCUUGGGCUUCACGCAUGCUACAAUGGCCGGUACAAAGGGCUGCGAUACCGUAAGGUGGAGCGAAUCCCAAAAAGCCGGUCUCAGUUCGGAUUGAGGUCUGCAACUCGACCUCAUGAAGUCGGAGUCGCUAGUAAUCGCAGAUCAGCAACGCUGCGGUGAAUACGUUCCCGGGCCUUGUACACACCGCCCGUCAAGUCAUGAAAGUCGGUAACACCCGAAGCC